rnacentral:other from 1 species
AUAACCCUGCGGUGUGCGUGAUCGACCAGCAUACGGGGCGAGCCAACACCAGAAGUACGGGAGCAUUGCGAAGCAACGUGGAUGUGAUAGCCCGGCCUCGGCCAGGGCAAGACGGAAGCGUUCAGCAAGCACCCACCUGCAUAAGCAGGUUCGCACCCACUGGUACACACGGCACUGCGGGGUUCCC